rnacentral:rRNA from 1 species
UCCGUUGGUGAACCAGCGGAGGGAUCAUUACCGAGUUUACAACUCCCAAACCCAAUGUGAACCAUACCAAACUGUUGCCUCGGCGGGGUCACGCCCCGGGUGCGUCGCAGCCCCGGAACCAGGCGCCCGCCGGAGGGACCAACCAAACUCUUUACUGUAGUCCCCUCGCGGACGUUAUUUCUUACAGCUCUGAGCAAAAAUUCAAAAUGAAUCAAAACUUUCAACAACGGAUCUCUUGGUUCUGGCAUCGAUGAAGAACGCAGCGAAAUGCGAUAAGUAAUGUGAAUUGCAGAAUUCAGUGAAUCAUCGAAUCUUUGAACGCACAUUGCGCCCGCCAGUAUUCUGGCGGGCAUGCCUGUCCGAGCGUCAUUUCAACCCUCGAACCCCUCCGGGGGGUCGGCGUUGGGGAUCGGGAACCCCUCAGACGGGAUCCCGGCCCCGAAAUACAGUGGCGGUCUCGCCGCAGCCUCUCCUGCGCAGUAGUUUGCACAACUCGCACCGGGAGCGCGGCGCGUCCACGUCCGUAAAACACCCAACUUUCUGAAAUGUUGACCUCGGAUCAGGUAGGAAUACCCGCUGAACUUAAGCAUAUCAAUAAGCGGAGGA